UGAGCAAUCUGCCCUUCUCUUCGGAAUAAGCGUUGGAAACGACGUCUAAUGCCGAAUACGACCUCCUUUCACAUGAUCGGAGGUGGAAAGCUCCGGCGGAGAAGGAUGAGCUCGCGGCCUAUCAGCUAGUUGGUGUGGGUAAUGGCCCACCAAGGCGACGACGGGUAGCUGGUCUGAGAGGAUGGCCAGCCACAUUGGGACUGAGACACGGCCCAGACCUCUACGGGAG
rnacentral:rRNA from 1 species